AAAUCCGUUGACUUUUUCAAUCGUGAGGGUUCAAGUCCCUCUAUCCCCA
rnacentral:tRNA from 1 species